rnacentral:lncRNA from 1 species
AUUUCUCUCCUAUCCGCCAUCCUGGUUCCUCCCUUCCCCCCACCUCCCAACUCUGUGCCCCGCCAACGUUUCCUAAAUGCCCUCUAUUCAGAUCCCCCCUCCGCCUCCCCUCUCCUCUCCUCCAUUCCUGCGUCCCCCUUCCCCCGCCGCGCCGCCUGGGCUGUCCGUGGACUUCUCCCACUCUCUCACUCUCUCACUCACUCUCUCUCUCUCUCUCUCUCUCUCACUCUCUCUCUCUCUCUCCCCCUCAUUUAUUUGGAACCGUUGGAUAAGAAGUGCUCGGGCUCUCGCUCAGACUUAGGGAGCUGCCUCGAGGUGAUGAAUGACACCCCCUGGCACCAGCUACCCUUCUCAGACCCCAGUCCAGCCCGCUCCCGACGUCGACUACGAUUCCGCUACCUCGGCUGGCAGCGAGGUUGGGGUGAGCCCCAGCUGCAGGCGCGUCUGGGCUGCGCCGCUGCAAACGAGUUGCGCACCUUGGGCGGCUCCGCACCUGCACCCGCACCCGCGGGGCUCAGCCCCGAAGGCUGCAGCUUCGGGGGAGGCGCGGUCGCCGAGGUCCAGCUGGUGGGGCGAGAGACGUCGCCCCUCGGAGGAUGCUCUCGGAACUUGGGAGAGGAAGGAGGGAAGAGAAGAGGGGAAAGGGGCCGUCGAUGUUUUUGAUGUCUGUGCUUUAAUGGAGGCCACCAAUAUUGAGAAGACGGGGUUGGCCGAGGCAGCCCGCACGCUGCUGCUUGCGAGCGCUCGAGUCAAAGCUAGGGCCAACCGCGGCUUGUCCGGGUGCCCUAAGGGGGCGGACACUUGGUUUAGCACCGGGACACAGAAUAGCCACCGGGGUAGGAAGAUGCGUUCACUUUGCUUACCUGUUGGCAAGAGGGACAUACAAAAAUAACGUAACGUGACAUCGUUGACAACGGUAGCUCUUUGAUUACACAAAAGCCAAUUUUACCUUCCCGCAAAAGCCAGUUGACGCCUUUGGAACUUUUAUUUGCGGCAUUUUGGCGCCCUCUGGCUGUGUUUGGAUCGCUUUCAUGCUCGCCUGCGUCCCAGCCAAGAAAAAAUCGAUGGAGCUGCAGGUUGUCCUCAGGAUGGUUCUGCCCUCAGGACCUGGGCGUGAAUUCAGGGACAGGGUGGCCCUCCAGAACCGGAGUGACAAACUGUAACCAUACUUAGGGAGGCAGACGUCAAAGGCAAGUACAUCUGUAUUCAACUGGGUAAAGCCAUGUGAAGACGUGCCUGCCUCCCUGUUACCUUCCACCAUGAUUGUAAGCUUCCUGAGGCCUCCCCAGCCAUGCCUGCUGUAUAGCCUGCAGAACAAUGAAGUCCCGCUCUGUCGCCCAGGCUGGAGUGCAAUGGCAAGAUCAAUCUCAGCUCAGUGCAACCUUCACCUCCCGGGUUCAAGCAAUCCUCCUGCCUCAGACUCCCAAGUUGCUGGGAUUACAGAGUCUCGCUCUGUCCAGUGGCACAAUCUCUGCUCACUGCAACCUCCACCUCCCUGUUCAAGCGAUUCUCAUGCGUCAGCCUUCCGAGUAGCUGGGACUACAGACACACAUAAGAUGUUACAGCUCUUUGAAGUCAUUCCCAUAGUCUUCUAAUGCAACAAGUCAUUGUCACUAAUUCAACUGAAA